AUGCAGUUCCCCUCCCUGAUGUGCAGCAAUCUGAAGGUUUUCAGAAAUCUUCGUUUGCCCUCCGAGACUGACUGGCUUCCCCGCAGCCCCACCCCGCAGGCAGCCCAGCUCUGCGGAAGGCACCUGCUGUCAUCUCCAAACAGACGAGGAAGGGAGACAUCUAAAGGCAACUCCGGGAAGUUCACACUCCUCCUGCACACGCCGAUCUCAGAUUUCGACAGAGGAUCAUCCUCUGUGAGAAACCCAGCCAUUCGCUACCAGCUGAGCAUGCCUUACCCCUCCACUCAGGCAGGCUUUCAAGCCUCGUUGGAUCCAUAUGCUCCAAAUGAUCCCGCUGAUUUUUCUCCUGGUUUCUGCAUGGGUAUGACUUGUGGCUGUCUCAUCCAUGCAAAGGCUGCCAUAUGCUCUUGGGUACCAGCAGGAGCAAGACAGGACAGAUUAUGAUCUUCAGAGGACUGCAGCUGCCACCAAAAUAGCACAGGACCUAUAUACAAGCUUUGAGUUUUCCUGUUAAGACUUGCUGUUCUUCUGUGACACACCCCUUUGUACUCAGAUUUGUCAUGCAUCUUACAGGUUGGAAAUCAUAUCCUCAGCCAUCAAAUCCUCCAUUUCUGUCUCGAAUAAUAUGCUUUGUAGCAAAAAAAAUUCUUGAAGAUGUUUCUGUGAACG
rnacentral:lncRNA from 1 species